CGCAAUGCUUGUUACGUUUGAUUAUUAUGUCGGCACAAAAACACAUUUGAAGUUAAGCCAGCAACUCAAUGUAUCGAUACUAAAAGCAGCACGAAAUAAAAGUACCACAGACAAAUAGUUGUAAUAGCGACUUGAAGAGCCCCUCGCACAGAUAGUUCCAGAACAUCGCAUAAGACAAGCACGACAACACCUUAACACGCACUUCAACCGUCACAGAAGACACACGCAAAGGUGGGCUAAAUUGCACCCAACGAACGGAACGUCUCCCAGUAGAGAAAGCCGCUGUGCCUAGUCAUCCAACCGAUCUCACCCGUGGUUGGAACGGCACGAAAGUGGAACGGCAAGUGGUCCACCACGGCAGAACCGACAGGGUCUAGAAGAGGGCGGAACAACCAAAUCAGGUACACGCAAUUCUUCGGGAUUUAGCAAAUGUCAUCUGAAUACGAUCUUUCUGCAGGGGCGAAACACAGACAACGCCACUGUUCGAGGAAAAGCAUUGCUGGCAGGUUAAAGCCCACAAUUGUCACGUGCAACAAGCAACGAUCGAACAACGAAGGAUCAACAUUAAUCGUGCAGCGCUUCAUUUCAUUGCACAAUCACAACAGGGGAUCGACGAGGUUCCCUGUUGUGCCGGACCUAAGAGUCGACGAGAACAAACUGCUGUCAGGCACGCCAUCCUCUUCAGGACAGUAGGGACGCCCAAUUGUACGGUUGAGACGAGUGAGAGUUGUAAGGCGGUGCGGGAACCAACGGCACGUGGGAAGUCGUCAGCAGACGCGGCGAACCGAGGGGAGAAAGCGAGGACGGUGAAGAUGUGCGAAAAGUGGAAGUCCGGGAAGUCGUGCGAGGUGGCAUAGAAUAGGCGGUGACCGCACGGGGCCGAAGGCCCGCUGUGAGUACAUAGAGAUUAAGAAUCAAGUGCACGCAAUAAUAGGGACCUCAAGAUAGAUGAAUAGGAGAGCAGGAUCCCUGCA